rnacentral:lncRNA from 1 species
AGAAUAGCCGCAAGGCUCUAAAGGUGAGGGUGAGAAAAAAUCGUAUAAAAGGAGAGAGAAACGGCCACUGGAAAUCAGUCGAGUGGGCAUCUCCGACCCGACAACAACUGUAAUAUUUGUUACCAAGAACUGCGUUCUUCCCAUUCGUAUUCGAAGUUAAUUAUGGCGUCGUUCUGCUGUUGGUUAUCGUUGUGUCGAUCAGUGGUGUACCGAUGUCUCCUGGGUAUGGCGGAUAUCAAACCGCAACGCCGCCGUCUUACUAUCAAACGCAAACGACCAGCUACUACACCGAGGCCCCCAACUACUACACUGAGAAGGCCGAAUAUUACACAGCUACGUAUGCUGCCCCAGUUUACUACACCGACGGGCCCAAGUAUUACUCUGCUCCAAGCUACUACCAAACAGAGGCUUCUGACUACACCGAGGCCCCCGAGUAUUAAACUACAACCUACGCUGCCCCCAGCUACUACACUGGAACUCCGAAGUUAUCCACCACCAAGGAAAUGGAACACCCCAACCUACGCUUCUCCACCUUACUACACACGGCAACGUGCGCUAUUAGUCACCAAGUGCAGUCUUGAUCGUGCAACCAAUUCUCAUGCUUAGUUUUGACGUCGUGCUGCUGUUGGGUGUUCUAUCGUUGCUAGCGGGUCGACCACUGGUGUAUCGAACUCCACCGAGGUUGGGUGAGGACUGUACGUGUUGCAUCACUCUCAAGUGGGUGCAAUAGCCGUGAGGCUCAAGAGGUGAAUCAGGAUGAGAAAGUCGUAUAAAAGGAGAGGGAAAGGGCGAUGGAGAUCAGUCGAGUGAGCAUCUCCUACUCGGCAACAACUGCAGCACAAUAUUGGUCAUCAACUGCAUUCUUUCAAUUCUCAAUCAUGGUUAACUAUGGCGUCGUUCGUUGGUUAUCGUUUAUUGCCGAGUCUAUUAAUGUUGUACCGAUGUCUCAUGGUUAUGGAAGAUACCAAACCGCAACGUCACCACCUAACUACACAACAUAGGCGACAGCCAGUUACUACACGAGGCCCACAAGUACUACUCCAAUCCCAGCUACUAUACCGAGGCUCCAGCUUAUUACACCAUCGAGGCCCACAAAAACUACACCACCAAGGCAUCGGAGUAUUACACCACAACCUGCGCUGCUCCAGACUACUACACCGAGGCUCCAAAGCACUACACCAUCACAGAACCGGAGUACUACGCGGCUACGUAUGCUGCCCCAGCUUACUACACCGGGUCUCACAAUUAUUACUCUGCUCCAGCUUACUACACCGAGACUACCAAAUACUAUUCAGCACCCAGCUACAUACCUACAACUACACAGCGGCUGCUUCAUCGUACUACGUUGAUCCGAAUUACUACUCCGAGGUUCCAGUUUACUACACCAAAAUCUACGCUUUCCCCCAGCUGCUACACUGAAGCUCCUGUUCACUGCAACACAAAGGCACCCGAGUAUUACACCACUACUUAGGCUGCUCCGACCUAAUGUACCGAAGCUGCGAAGUAUUACUUGCCCCAGUUACAACACCACUACAAAAAGACCGAAAAAGACUUAUUCUAAAUCCAAAAUUUUUCCUUGUAAAUGGAAAUUGAUCCUUAUUAGAAUACACUUUUAAUGCGAGUAA